GACGAACGCUGGCGGCGUGCUUAACACAUGCAAGUCGAACGGAAAGGCCCUGCUUUUGUGGGGUUCUCGAGUGGCGAACGUGUGAGUAACACGUGAGUAACCUGCUCUUGACUUUGGGAUAACUUCAGGAAACUGGGGCUAAUACCGGAUAGGAGCUCCUGCUGCAUGGUGGGGGUUGGAAAGUUUCGUCGGUUGGGGAUGGACUCGCGGCUUAUCAGCUUGUUGGUGGGGUAGUGGCUUACCAAGGCUUUGACGGGUAGCCGGCCUGAGAGGGUGACCGGCCACAUGGGGACUGGGAUACGGCCCAGACUCCUACGGGAGGCAGCAGUGGGGAAUAUUGCACAAUGGGCGGAAGCCUGAGGAAGCAACGCCGCGUGCGGGAUGACGGCCUUCGGGUUGUAAACCGCUUUCGCCUGUGACGAAGCGUGAGUGACGGUAAUGGGUAAAGAAGCACCGGCUAACUACGUG
rnacentral:rRNA from 1 species